GGCUUAACACAUGCAAGUCGAGCGGUAGCACAGGGGACUUGCUCCCCGGGUGACGAGCGGCGGACGGGUGAGUAAUGUCUGGGAAACUGCCUGAUGGAGGGGGAUAACUACUGGAAACGGUAGCUAAUACCGCAUAACGUCGCAAGACCAAAGAGGGGGACCUUCGGGCCUCUUGCCAUCAGAUGUGCCCAGAUGGGAUUAGCUAGUAGGUGGGGUAAUGGCUCACCUAGGCGACGAUCCCUAGCUGGUCUGAGAGGAUGACCAGCCACACUGGAACUGAGACACGGUCCAGACUCCUACGGGAGGCAGCAGUGAGGAAUAUUGCACAAUGGGCGCAAGCCUGAUGCAGCCAUGCCGCGUGUAUGAAGAAGGCCUUCGGGUUGUAAAGUACUUUCAGCGAGGAGGAAGGUGGUGAGCUUAAUACGCUCAUCAAUUGACGUUACUCGCAGAAGAAGCACCGGCUAACUCCGUGCCAGCAGCCGCGGUAAUACGGAGGGUGCAAGCGUUAAUCGGAAUUACUGGGCGUAAAGCGCACGCAGGCGGUCUGUCAAGUCGGAUGUGAAAUCCCCGGGCUCAACCUGGGAACUGCAUUCGAAACUGGCAGGCUAGAGUCUUGUAGAGGGGGGUAGAAUUCCUAGGUGUAGCGCGUGAAAUGCGUAGAGAUCUGGAGGAAUACCGGUGGCGAAGGCGGCCCCCUGGACAAAGACUGACGCUCAGGUGCG
rnacentral:rRNA from 1 species